AUUGAACGCUGGCGGCAGGCCUAACACAUGCAAGUCGAGCGGAUGAAGGGAGCUUGCUCCUGGAUUCAGCGGCGGACGGGUGAGUAAUGCCUAGGAAUCUGCCUGGUAGUGGGGGAUAACGUCCGGAAACGGGCGCUAAUACCGCAUACGUCCUGAGGGAGAAAGUGGGGGAUCUUCGGACCUCACGCUAUCAGAUGAGCCUAGGUCGGAUUAGCUAGUUGGUGGGGUAAAGGCCUACCAAGGCGACGAUCCGUAACUGGUCUGAGAGGAUGAUCAGUCACACUGGAACUGAGACACGGUCCAGACUCCUACGGGAGGCAGCAGUGGGGAAUAUUGGACAAUGGGCGAAAGCCUGAUCCAGCCAUGCCGCGUGUGUGAAGAAGGUCUUCGGAUUGUAAAGCACUUUAAGUUGGGAGGAAGGGCAGUAAGUUAAUACCUUGCUGUUUUGACGUUACCUACAGAAUAAGCACCGGCUAACUUCGUG
rnacentral:rRNA from 1 species